rnacentral:rRNA from 1 species
AACGAACGCUGGCGGCAGGCUUAACACAUGCAAGUCGAGCGCCCCGCAAGGGGAGCGGCAGACGGGUGAGUAACGCGUGGGAACGUACCUUUUGGUUCGGAACAACUCCGGGAAACUGGAGCUAAUACCGGAUAAGCCCUAACGGGGAAAGAUUUAUCGCCGAAAGAUCGGCCCGCGUCUGAUUAGCUAGUUGGUGAGGUAACGGCUCACCGAGGCGACGAUCAGUAGCUGGUCUGAGAGGAUGAUCAGCCACACUGGGACUGAGACACGGCCCAGACUCCUACGGGAGGCAGCAGUGGGGAAUAUUGGACAAUGGGCGCAAGCCUGAUCCAGCCAUGCCGCGUGAGUGAUGAAGGCCUUAGGGUUGUAAAGCUCUUUUGUCCGGGAAGAUAAUGACUGUACCGGAAGAAUAAGCCCCGGCGAACUGCGU